AUGCGGCCAUGUCACAUUGAAACGUCGGUCCUCGUACGAUCACCAAAGUUAAGCAACAUCAAGCAUGGUCAGAACCUAGAUCAGUGACCACUUGGGAAUAGCAGGUACUGUAAG